rnacentral:rRNA from 1 species
UACGAAGGGAGCUAGCGUUGUUCGGAAUCACUGGGCGUAAAGCGCACGUAGGCGGAUCGAUCAGUCAGGGGUGAAAUCCCAGAGCUCAACUCUGGAACUGCCUUUGAUACUGUCGGUCUAGAGUAUGGAAGAGGUGAGUGGAAUUCCGAGUGUAGAGGUGAAAUUCGUAGAUAUUCGGAGGAACACCAGUGGCGAAGGCGGCUCACUGGUCCAUUACUGACGCUGAGGUGCGAAAGCGUGGGGAGCAAACAGG